UGUUUUUGAGGCGAGAAUUUUGUAAAAGCAGCAUGAUUCAUUCUAUAAAAGUUGAUAUUAACAUGAGAUCAUGUGACAUAAUAAUAUUAUUUACCACUUUUUUUUUAUUGAGAGCAAUUGAAUUAUUUUUACUGAAUUUUGAUCAUUUUUUAAAUAUAUACCCUCUUAAAUAUGCAUAAUUGUAUGAAUAUACUUGUAAAGUUGCUAUUUGCAUGUGUAUCCUUAUAAAGUUUUCAUUUUGUGCAUCUACUUAUAAGAAUAUUCCAGUCAUUUUAAAUUUAAAUUAUUUAUUUUUUAACGGCAUUAGAUUAUAUAGGUAUAUAUAUUAUAAAAAAAGAAUGAUAUACAUGUAAAAUAAGUAUUUUAUGAGAUAUAUAUAUAAAUAGCAAUUUUAUGAAAAUAUUUAUAUAAUUUUGUAUAUUUUGAAGGGUAUACAUGUAAAAAAAAAUAUUUUAUCUUAUUACCUACGCCUGGCGCAUGUGAAAAGAAAAUUUUUUAAUCAGAAUAGAGGAUCACGACCAUCCAACUUGCCACGCUCUGGUGCAAUUUAUUGUGCACUCUCUCCCGUAGAAACGUAACAGAUUACAUGCAUGUCCCUUGCAAUUCAAUGUGGUUUCUCAAAAUCGCCGCCGCCACCACCUCCAUUGUUUCCUACGUACAAUUGCCACCACCUCUAAACCUCGGAAACUAGAGCCGCGUCGCAGUACCGCCAUCCUCUCUCCUACUGCUGCUGCAACAGUACCUCCUUCCCUCCACCUCCUUCCUCUCUUCCCCUCUUCUCCCUCCCAUCUCUUUCCUUUCCCUUCUCCCCAUCCCAAAA
rnacentral:lncRNA from 1 species